UUAUUUUCUGACUGAAGACCUCCCCUCCCCUAUCACCAGCAAGUCCUCAGUCAGUUGACCACUUUUGUUUCCCAGAAGGAGCACUUCUGGUUUGGGUUUUGACUGAAGUUAUGUUGUGGAAAGUGACAGAGAAUGAUUGUGGCUAGCUCCAGUAAACAGGGAGCUGUAUUGGAUGGAUUCUGCAGUAGCUCUCAGAACCGGGGAUGGAGCUAACCAACCCGGCCUUGGAAAGGCCAGGAAGCUGGGCAGCUCUGGGGGCCUCAGCGACUGGAGUUUAUGGGGGCUGCCAUUAAGCACCUGUAGUAGUGCCUGAUCCACAACAGGUACUCAGGACAUGUUUGCUGAAUAAAUGAAUGUGGAAUCCAAAAGUGCCCUCAAACCCACUCGUAUGUUGGUCCAAGGAAGGUUAGCCCUGAGCUAACUACUGCCAGUCCUCCUCUUUUUGCCGAGGAAGCCCGGCCCUGAGCUGACAUCCGUGCCCAUCUUCCUCUACUUUAUACGUGGGACGCCUACCACAGCACGGUGUGCCAAGCGGUGCCAUGUCCGCACCCGGGAUCUGCACCGGCGAACCCAGGCCGCUGAGAAGGGGAACGUGCGAACUUAACCGCUGCGCCACUGGGCCAGCCCAAAAACUGGGUUUUUGAUGGUUGCUGUGACAAAAAGCAAAAACCACACAAAAGUCAAUGUGGAACAGGAAAUGACCGUGGCACUGUAAGCUGAUUCCAAGUUUUGAGAACUUAUGCAGAGCUCAACAGGUGGACACAUUCCAUUAUUAAGUAAUUGAGGUUAAGUAUGAC
rnacentral:lncRNA from 1 species